GAAUUUUAUAAAAUUAAUAAUUUAAAAAAAAAUUAAAUUAUUUUAUUUAGUUGGGAGGAUUUUUAAAUUUAAUAAACUUUUAAAUAUAAAUACCAUUAAUUCAUGAUAAUUAUAAUAAAUAAAAUAAUAAAUAUUAUUUAAAUUAAAAUUAAUUACCUUAGGGAUAACAGCAUAAAAUUUUUUUGUAGAUCUUAUAUAUAAAAAUAUUUGU
rnacentral:rRNA from 1 species